AGCUGAUUGAGGCCACGUCAAUGUUGCAAGGAGACAUGAGACUCACAUCAGAGUUCUAUGGCUUAACAUGGGGGAUGGUGUGAAAAGAAACAGAGAUCGUUGGAGAAAUGUCUGAUUAUAAGAUAUUUCUAAGCCUGGUGAAGAAAUAUAUAAGAGAAGCCUGGAGAAGAACCAGUAAUACCAGAAAUCAGGGAGGGGCCCUGAAGAGAAAAGGAUAACAAAAGGAUGAAGACCUGUCCAAGGGACCCAGCAGCUAACUUGAAAGAGCUCUCAAUGGGUAAAGCUGGAGCAAUUUCAACAACAAAAUAAAUAACAUAUCACUGGAUUAUAACCUGAAGUAUAAAACGUAUGAGUCCAUACUCUUAUAAAUAAAUGAUUGAAUAAAUACAUAAAUGAGAAGAAGGGAGAAAUCUUCCUUACUAGUCUAUUAAUAGUCCCCACUUUCAGAUGUGGAGCUCAUGAUCUCCUUUGUUAAGUGUAGGCUGGACUCAGUGACUGUCUUCCAAGGAAUAGAGUAUGGACAGGUA
rnacentral:lncRNA from 1 species